AACUGAGUAUAAUGCCCGAUAGAACACUAUACCUGGAAUGGUUUGUGUUCCAAAUGAAUGUCGCCGUAGGAUGGGACUGCGGCCUAUCAGUUUGUUGGUGAGGUAAUGGCCCACCAAGACUAUUACAGGUACGGGCUCUGAGAGGAGUAGCCCGGAGAUGGGUACUGAGACACGGACCCAGGCCCUAUGGGGCGCAGCAGGCGAGAAAACUUUGCAAUGUGCGAAAGCACGACAAGGUUAAUCCGAGUGGUUUGUGCUAAACGAACCUUUUGACAGUCCUAGAAACACUGUUGAAUAAGGGGUGGGCAAGUUCUGGUGUCAGCCGCCGCGGUAAAACCAGCACCUCAAGUGGUCAGGAUGAUUAUUGGGCCUAAAGCAUCCGUAGCCGGCUCUGUAAGUUUUCGGUUAAAUCUGUACGCUCAACGUACAGGCUGCCGGGAAUACUGCAGAGCUAGGGAGUGGGAGAGGUAGACGGUACUCGGUAGGAAGGGGUAAAAUCCUUUGAUCUAUUGAUGACCACCUGUGGCGAAGGCGGUCUACCAGAACACGUCCGACGGUGAGGGAUGAAAGCUGGGGGAGCAAACCGGAUUAGAUACCCGGGUAGUCCCAGCUGUAAACUAUGCAAACUCAGUGAUGCAUUGGCUUGUGGCCAAUGCAGUGCUGCAGGGAAGCCGUUAAGUUUGCCGCCUGGGAAGUACGUACGCAAGUAUGAAACUUAAAGGAAUUGGCGGGGGAGCACCACUAGGGGUGAAGCCUGCGGUUC
rnacentral:rRNA from 1 species